rnacentral:rRNA from 1 species
UACGUAGGGUGCAAGCGUUGUCCGGAAUUAUUGGGCGUAAAGAGCUCGUAGGCGGUCUGUUGCGUCCGCUGUGAAAGCCCGGGGCUUAACCCCGGGUCUGCAGUGGAUACGGGCAGGCUAGAGGUAGGUAGGGGAGAAUGGAAUUCCCGGUGUAGCGGUGAAAUGCGCAGAUAUCGGGAGGAACACCGGUGGCGAAGGCGGUUCUCUGGGCCUUACCUGACGCUGAGGAGCGAAAGCGUGGGGAGCGAACAGG